rnacentral:rRNA from 1 species
CCUACGUGAGGCAGCAGUGAGGAAUAUUGGUCAAUGGCCGUAAGGCUGAACCAGCCAAGUAGCGUGAGGGAAGACUGCCCUAUGGGUUGUAAACCUCUUUUAUGCGGGGAUAAAGGUGUCCACGUGUGGAUGUUUGCAGGUACCGCAUGAAUAAGGACCGGCUAAUUCCGUGCCAGCAGCCGCGGUAAUACGGAAGGUCCGGGCGUUAUCCGGCUUUAUUGGGUUUAAAGGGAGCGUAGGCCGGUCUUUAAGCGUGCCGUGAAAUUUUGUGGCUCAACCAUGAGAGUGCGGCGCGAACUGGAGACCUUGAGUGCGCGGAAGGCAGGCGGAAUUCGUGGUGUAGCGGUGAAAUGCAUAGAUAUCACGAAGAACUCCGAUUGCGAAGGCAGCUUACCAGUCUGCGACUGACGCUCAGGCACGAAAGUGUGGGUAUCGAACAGGAUUAGAUACCCUUGUAGUC